GCAUAAUAUAGGUUAGUUGGUUAGAGCAUGGUGCUGAUAACACCAAGGUCACAGGUUCGAUCCCCAUAAGGGACAGCUGCA